GACGAACGCUGGCGGCGUGCCUAAUACAUGCAAGUAGAACGCUGAAGGAGGAGCUUGCUCUUCUGGAUGAGUUGCGAACGGGUGAGUAACGCGUAGGUAACCUGCCUGGUAGCGGGGGAUAACUAUUGGAAACGAUAGCUAAUACCGCAUAACAGUAGAUGUUGCAUGACAUUUGCUUAAAAGGUGCAAUUGCACCACUACCAGAUGGACCUGCGUUGUGUUGGCUAGUUGGUGGGGUAACGGCUCACCAAGGCGACGAUACAUAGCCGACCUGGGAGGGGGAUCGGCCACGCUGGGACUGAGACACGGCCCAGACUCCUACGGGAGGCAGCAGUAGGGGAUCUUCGGCAAUGGACGGAAGUCUGACCGAGAAACGCCGCGUGAGUGAAGAAGGUUUUCGGAUCGUAAAGCUCGGUUGUAAGAGAAGAACGAGUGUGAGAGUGGAAAGUUCACACUGUGACGGUAUCUUACCAGAAAGGGACGGCUAACUACGUG
rnacentral:rRNA from 1 species